rnacentral:rRNA from 1 species
AUACGGAGGGUGCAAGCGUUAUUCGGAAUCACUGGGCGUAAAGGACGCGUAGGCGGGUUGGCAAGUCAGAUGUGAACUCCUACAGCUUAACUGUAGAACUGCAUUUGAAACUGCUAACCUAGAGUAUGGGAGGGGGAGAUGGAAUUAGUGGUGUAGGGGUAAAAUCCGUAGAUAUCACUAGGAAUACCGAAAGCGAAGGCGAUCUCCUGGAACAUAACUGACGCUUAGGCGUGAAAGCGUGGGGAGCAAACAGGAUUAGAUACCCUAGUAGUCC